rnacentral:tRNA from 1 species
GUGCGGGCUGGUCCGGGAAUUGGGGCGAUUUCGGUGAGGCCGCACCCGGGCGCUAUGCCCAGCCAGGGUGCUACGCCCAGCCCGGGUGC